rnacentral:ribozyme from 1 species
UAUCAACAGAGCAAGCUUGGCAUCCUCCACGCCGUCAGCUUGACACAGAGCAUACGCCGCACAGACUGGCCUUUGGGUCUUGUAAUCAGCA